rnacentral:tRNA from 1 species
UCCCUGGUGGCUCAGAUGGUACAGAAUCUGCUUGCAAUGCAGAAGACCCAGGUUUGAUCCCUGGGUAAGGAA